rnacentral:rRNA from 1 species
UACGUAGGGCGCAAGCGUUGUCCGGAAUUAUUGGGCGUAAAGAGCUCGUAGGCGGCCUGUUGCGUCCGCUGUGAAAUCCCGGGGCUCAACCCCGGGCCUGCAGUGGAUACGGGCUGGCUAGAGGCAGGCAGGGGAGAACGGAAUUCCAGGUGUAGCGGUGAAAUGCGCAGAUAUCAGGAGGAACACCGGUGGCGAAGGCGGUUCUCUGGGCCUGUACUGACGCUGAGGAGCGAAAGCGUGGGGAGCGAACAGG